GCGAGUAUGGCCCUCACGGGUCUAAUCCACCAUAAACACCUUUGUGAACCAGUCAGGGGGACUCGGCCGUGAAAGCCCAGGCGAUUAGCGGAAGGGCCCUCCUUCGCAAGCCCGUUUAGAAGUCUUGAAAGUACUUUUGUAUAAUCUAGUA
rnacentral:misc_RNA from 1 species